UGGGGGAUUUUGCACAAUGGGCGCAAGCCUGAUGCAGCGACGCCGCGUGAGGGAUGAAGGCCUUCGGGUUGUAAACCUCUUUCGCUGGGUUGAAAGGCCAUGCUUUGGGUGUGGUUGAUUGGAACUGGUAAAGAAGUACCGGCUAACUACGUGCCAGCAGCCGCGGUAAUACGUAGGGUACUAGCGUUGUCCGGAUUUAUUGGGUGUAAAGGGCUUGUAGGUGGUUUGUCGCGUCUGUCGUGAAAUCCUGUGGCUUAACCAUGGGCUUGCGGUGGGUACGGGCAGGCUUGAGUGCGGUAGGGGAGACUGGAAUUCCUGGUGUCGCGGUGGAAUGCGCAGCUAUCAGGAGGAACACCGGUGGCGAAGGCGGGUCUCUGGGCCGUUACUGACACUGAGGAGCGAAAGCGUGGGGAGCGAACAGG
rnacentral:rRNA from 1 species